AUUAAAUUUUAUUACAUAUCUCACAUGCCAUUUUGAUUGUUAUUAAACAAUUGACCCAAGCUUACUAAAGUAGACCCAAGAUUAUUAAAGUAUACUUAAGUAUAGAUUUAGAUAAGUGGCAAUUACCGUGAGUAGGGAUGAGCAUGGUAUCAGUACCGAAAUUAGGAAAACCGGGUAACGGUACCAAAAAUGUUUGGUACGGUAACCGGUUUGAGUAUUUUACCGGUACGGAACCUAAACGUCAAAAUGGGUAUCGAAUAGGUACCGAAAAUAAUUCGGUACAGGAAAUGCUCAUCCCUAAUGACCAUUGUGGUUUUUUGAUAGUGUUUUUGUUUUUAAAAAUGAUUUGUCAUAUUUAUGUGUUGUUUUGUUUGCCACAUGAAAAUUGUUAGAUUAUAAGCUCUAUUGUUAAAGUUAUUAAAUAAUCCCUUAAAAUCCAGUCUCAAGUGACGUAUUUAUGGCCAGGACUACCCAUAAGAUCAAGACACUCUCCAUCAUGGAGUGUGGUGUAUACCUCUUUGUUCCGAAAUACCAGUCAUUUGCAGAUGGUGGGAUUCAAUUUCCAUGUUGAAGUGAGUUGUCCUAUUUUGACCACUACAAUUAAUGUCCUCUAUGCACUUAUAAAUAAAACGAGUCCGAGUAAUCAUGAUAUAGAGCAAGAAGAUCCAAGACAAAUGGAUAAGACAAACGUGGCCUAUAAAGAAAAUCUUGGACUUGUGAUUUUUUUUCGUAUUUCCUUUUUUAGUUCAUUGUAAUUAAUAUUUACCUAAGUAAUGGAAGGUUUUGUUUUCA